rnacentral:rRNA from 1 species
AGAAUCAACGCUGGCGGCGUGCCUAACACAUGCAAGUCGUACGCGAAAGUCCCGCAAGGGAUGAGUAGAGUGGCAAACGGGUGAGUAACACGUGGGUGACCUGCCUUCGAGUGGGGGAUAACGUCCCGAAAGGGACGCUAAUACCGCAUGACAUCCUGCUUUUAGAAAAGCGGAGAUUAAAGCCGGGGAUCGCAAGACCUGGCGCUUGAAGAGGGGCCCGCGCCUGAUUAGCUAGUUGGUAGGGUAAUGGCCUACCAAGGCUACGAUCA